ensembl:lncRNA
CCAGAUGAGAGCACGUCUCUAGGAGUUGCUGUGGCUACGUUUGGACAUAGAGAAGGCAGACUGGCAAAAUCAGUAGUUUGCGUUGAAUUGUCUGCACAUUUGCAAGGAGUAGCACACACUAGGAAGCGAGAGGGCUCCUCAGGAAGAGAUAGGAGGCUAAGAAGGCAGUCAUCUGUAUUACAGUAAGGGCGGUGUUCAGCUGGGGAUGGAAAAGAAAAUUUGCUAAGCACAAACUCAAAGGGUGGAAAGGCUAUAAGGGAAUCACUGAGCACUUGCCUGCUGUGCCUGUUCCUGUGGGUGGUGACACAUUGGAACAAGUUGCCCAAGGAGGUUGUGGAUGCCCCAUCCCUGGAGGCAUUCAAGGCCAGGCUGGAUGUGGCUCUGGGCAGCCUGGUCUGGUGGUUGGUGACCCUGCACAUGGCAGGGGGGUUGAAACUCAAUGAUCAUUAUGGUCCUUUUCAACCCAGGCCAUUCUAUUAUUCUAUGACUCACCCUAGCGAGGCUUCUGUUUCCAUGUGGAAAUACUUGUCUGCUACUUUCUGCCCUGUGCAAACUGUAUGAACGGUCUGGUCUUUUAUCUGGCGUCAGUUCAGGAGCUCAUCACUUACCUGCUGAUGGCAAGCAUGGGCUCAGCCUGUGAAGAGAAAGAGUGAGAGCAGAGGGAUUGUGUGUCUGUUUAUGGAAGAUGGUUGUGUUCUCACAGUGUUCCGUGCAAAGUUUAUUAAAUGAGGCCAAAUCCAUAAAGCUACAGAUGGAAAGACUGGAAAAUGAAAGCCCCUUUGAGCACAGUAGUCAGAACCAGGUGCCAUCUCCUGGGAUGAAGACAGACUAGUCCUGUUCAGCACAUGUAAUGAAUGAUGAAACCUGUCCCCACAGUCUGCAGCAAAUGCCAGUCAUUGUUCUGGGUGAUGCUAAAUAACAGUAGAGCACAGUAUGAAUAAGAUGCCUGUCAGGGAUUUUAAAGUGCUUUGAAUCACAUAACUCUAACCAAGCACCUAAGCAGUAUGUUAGAUUCGGCAUUGUGACCCUCAGAAUCAGCUGUGCUGCACUGCUCUUUGGGUGGCUCCUUUGCCCUUUGGAAAUGAAUCUGUUUCUAAUUCCAUAUCUGUACAGUAACACGUUAAAAGGCAUCAAUGAACAGUAGUAGCAGGGAGAUGUGUCUUUCGGUGUAGUGCUUACUCUGGUGAACAGGCUAGGGGCUGCAUCCUGCUACCACUUCUGCCCACCCUCUUUGUUUUACUUUGCUCAUUCUUUUCACACACCAGGCUGACAAAGCUCUGACACUUAUUGCAAUAUACAUUUCUUCUACUGAACAGGGAAUAAUCUUUCAUUAUUAUAAGCUUUUUCAAUUUUCUUAAGGCCUUUUACCACUCUGCCAGUGUAGCAUAAUUUAUUUUGUUGAAUGGGUUACCCACAUUAAAGUGUGCAAAGCU